UCUCAUUAUAACUGUCGUAUGAAUAGGCCAUUGGCCUAUCCUAUUACUUUGUCACUAAGUAGUAGCUGAUGAUGGUUGGAGGGAUGGAGUAGAAGGGAGUAGUUCACCAACUAUUCAUUGUCCAUCAUCUUCUUCUUCUUCUUCCUCCUACUGGUUCAAAACAUUGGGCAAAGCUAUUAAUUGGAUAUUAAUUCCUCCAUAAAUAGAGCUCCUUCUUAUUUACGUUGGUUUAAGUUGUCUGAGAAAUAGCUAUGGAGAGUUGAUAGAAUUGAAGAGCAAUCAGAGGAUUGAGGAGCCAUAGUUAGCCAAUUCCAAGCAUUCAAGUGGUAAUCUUGCUAACAUAUAAGUUCUCGAGUUCUAAGUUUCUUAGGGGUAAAAUGCAAAGUCGACCACUGAACUUUAUGGGGUUUUGGGUAUUGAGCCAUUUUCUUUUGGUCAACGCAAAUUGAGCCUCUUUCUAUUAAAAAUUUGGGCAAAGGGUCAAAAAUGCCCCUGAUGUUUACCCCGAUAUUCCACUUGCACCUUAAACUAAUUUUUUUUUCCAAAAGUACCCUUAACGUUACAUUUUUUGGGUCGCCCGUGCCCCUGCCGUUAACAGAAGACAAACGGAGUUAAAAUGUGAUGACGUGGCAGACUUAAAUAUAAAAUAUAUUCUAAAUAAAACAAUAUAUAUAAUUUAAUCAAAACAAAAAUACUAAAAUUCAAAAUAAAAAAAGUAUAACAUAUUUACAUCAUUUAAUCAAAAUAAUAAAAUUCAAAUUAUUUUUUUAACUAAUCAAAACAACUAAUUAAAUAAAAUAUGUAAAAUAAAAAGAUUCCAUUAAAAAAACAGAAAAAGGUAAGUAGUAUAAUUUUUCCCACCCAAUUACAGAAUUACUGUUUCCAUAAUAAAAAAAAAUCUUACUUCCUGCUAAAUCUAAUUCCUAUUUAACUUAUUAAAUCAACUAAAAUGCAUUCAAUUGAUAAAACUAUAUAAUUUUAAUGAGAAACAAAAUAAAAUUUUCAAAUCUGCUUAUGUGCAUACACAUGUAUUAGUUUAUUAUUAUUAUUAUUAUUAUUAUUAUUAUUAUUAUUAUUAUUAUUAUUUUGCCCUUUUUACGGUAAUCCAACUGAGAAAGGAGAGGACGAAUACUAAAAAUAAAUUAUAAAAAAAACCUUUGUUCUUCUUAAAGAAAAUUAAUAAAAAAUAAUUAAAAUUAAAUAAAAAUAAUAUUCUAUUUAUAGAACGGAAGGCGUAAUGUACAAUUAUUCAAAUAUAAACACAAUUCUAACACAAUACACAUAAACAAAAAAACAUAAUAAAAAGUUUUAUGAAUUUAUGAAAAAUAUAAUGAAAAUCAUUUUUUAGUUAGUAUUUGAUGUAAAUAUGUUAUGUUUUGAAUUUUAGUAUUUUGAUUAAAUGAUGUAAAUAUGUUAUACAACUUAUUUUAUUUAAUUAGUUAACAAAAUAAUUUGAAUUUUAUUAUUUUGAUUAAAUGAUGUAAAUAUGUUAUGUUUUUUUUUAUUUUGAAUUUUAGUAUUUUUUGUUUUGAUUAAAUGAUAUAUAUUGUUUUAUUUAGAAUAUAUUUAUAUUUAAGCCUGCCACGUCAUCACAUUUUAAUCAUGUUUGUCUUCUGUUAACGGCAGGGGCACGAGCGACCUAAUAAAUGUAACGUUAAGGGUACUUUUGGAAAAAAAAUUAGUUUAGGGUGCAAGCGGGAUAUCGGGGUAAACAUUAGGAGUAUUUUUGACCCUUUGCCCUUAAAAAAUUUGGACUUCGAGCGACAUGUGCCGCCUACGUGGCAGAUCUGAUAUAAUAUUGAACUUAAUCCCAAAAAUUAUGUUGUUGCCAAUAUUCAAACACGAGACCUCUAGCUUAAAACUUGGAUCCAAUGACCACCUGAGCAAACAAGCUUAUAAUUUGCAAGGAUUAAUAUUUAUAACUGAACAAAUCAUUUUUCCCAAAUUAAAACAGAUCCCCUUUCCCAUGCCAUGCGCAUCGUCGCUAGGAGCCUCGCCCGAGCCAAUAGCCCCUAUUUUUUUUAUCUUGAACCAGAUUUAUGGAACCUUUAAUCAUUAUGGAUACAAAGAGUUCUAAAACUGUUAUAAACUGAUCAGUGAUUAUUACAUCAUUUACUUUAUAAAGUGAUGUUUUAUUCACAAUUCAGUUUUAUCAGUUUUAAAACUGAACAAAGUAGAAUAAAUUGAGAAUUUUCAGUGAGUUGCUAUCACUGAGAAUUAGUAUAGGCUUGACAUAUAUCAAUUCUAUUAGCCUUUAGCAAACCUUAGCAGUAAGGGGUCAAUAAACACCUUAAGGACAGGGACUACCCGUGUCAAAUCCUUGUUCCAUUUAUUCUGUGUUCAUUUUAAUUUUUUCACCGUCACUAAAACACAGUCUUAAAUAAAAGAAUUGUACUAAAGCAGAGCAGAAAGAAAACAAUUUAAAUAAACACAGACAAAUCAACAUCAAAACAAUAGGAAUUUUAAUCUUCAUGAAUUUAUAGUUAUCAAAAUGAUAUGCUUCCGUAAGAACUCAAACUUAGAUCUAAAACGAAAUUCGAGAGAGAGAGAUCUGACAAUACAUACCAAUUACAGUGUAAGCAGGUUUUGGUAUGUUUCCAAUCCUUGUGUUUAAGCUAAAAGAUGCCGGAAAAACUAAUUGGAUUUCUUUCUUUCUUUUGUAUAAUUUGACUGUCGCGCUCGGGCCGGUGUUUUAUCCCGUGUUUGAAUUGAAUAUUAUCGUCACAUCACAUCGUCUCCUUCCUUCACCUUAGCUGGACAGUAUGUCCGUCGGUAGGAGCACUUAUGCUAAUUGCUAACGGUCAAGUCAAG
rnacentral:lncRNA from 1 species